UACGUAGGUCGCAAGCGUUGUCCGGAUUUACUGGGCGUAAAGAGCGCGCAGGCGGCUGGUCAAGUCCGAUGUGAAAUCUCCCGGCUCAACUGGGAAACUGCAUCGGAAACUGAUCGGCUUGAAGAUGGGAGAGGGUAGUGGAAUUCCAGGUGUAGCGGUGAAAUGCGUAGAUAUCUGGAGGAACACCGGUGGCGAAGGCGGCAUUCUGGACUACAACUGACACUGAGGAACGAAAGCCAGGGGAGCAAACGGG
rnacentral:rRNA from 1 species